AAAUAAACAACUGAAAACUAACUAUGAUUGAAUUGUAAACAAUUGGAAUAAAGGUCUAAGGUAAUAGUUUUCCCCUUUGUUUAUUUCCUUGAUUGUAUAUUUCUUAUAGCUGUGACUUAGUUGCCUGUAUUAAUCAUGAACUCGUCAGUUAUCAUAAAUCUCUCUCAAGCAAUUAUGAUAAUUUAGUAGACGCAUUCUCUCAAGUUACGCUAGCUAGAUUCACAUUACAGUUCACUUAGAUCACACCCGAGGUAUCGUUAUCUCUAAUCCAACCUCUAAACCCUCGGUUAUGGCUCUCGCCUAUACUCCGGGAGUGAUGUUGUUCAAGUUAUCUCUAAUCCAACCUCUAAACCCUCGGUUAUGACUCUCGUCUAUACUCCGGGAGUGAUGUUGUUCAAACAACUAGCUAAAUAUGCACUCUCUCCCAAGCAGAUACUUAAUAAAUAUGAACGAUUAAUUGCGGAUCCUUUCAAUUAACCAAAAUCAAAACGUAGUUGAACAAAUAGAGAUUAAAAACCAACUCAAAUCUAUAUUAAUAUGACAACCAAUUCAUCCCCAACGGGUUUCACCCAAAAUCUUAGACUAGAAAAGUUAGCAACUCAUGAAAAUAACAAAAAUCACAAAAGAAUUCAUAUUCAAAGGUAAAAGAACAAAGAAGAAGGUUAAAAAUUGAUGGCCAAUUAUCCUCCUUGCCUCUUGCCCUUCCUUUUGAUGGUUUUCACUUCCCAAAAAUCCUUCUCUCCUUUCUUGACCGGCCUCCUUCGUUUAAUGUAGGUUUUAGGGCUUAAAAUCCAGUAUUUUACGCUUUGGUUCCUGAAAUUUACGCGUCCUGCCGCGGUCCUACUGCAGUUAUGUCCGGACAGCGGCCAGAGUAUCCUUCAGAAUCUGCAGCAGUAUUCUGCCGAGGUCCUACCGCGGUUACGUCCGGUUUCGUUUGGAAUUUGGAAAAAUGUAAAACGUGAAAGUUGUAUCCCUUUGAGUUAGCUUUCCAACCAUAUAUUGUGGAGCCCAAAUGGAGUUCUGAGCAAAAUGUUAUGUGCAUUUUACUAGACAGUGCGCAAUAUGCCUACUCGAGUCUUCGUUUUGUUGUUUUAUCAUCCGUUGAUUUCUGAAUACGAUCCCGGCUUAAUUCCUUGGGCUUUUACUCAGAUUUCAAAGCUCAAAUUACUUGAAUUCAUUCUAUAACAUCUAUGUAGCUCGGAAUCACUCCUACAAGGCAUAAAACACACUGUUAGUGCAAAAUACUAGCGAUUAAAGCGCAAACUCAACAAAAAUGCAGUAAAUUAGU
rnacentral:lncRNA from 1 species